rnacentral:rRNA from 1 species
AUUGAACGCUGGCGGCCGGCCUAACACAUGCAAGUCGAGCGAGUGGCGGACGGGUGAGUAAUGUCUGGGGAUCUGCCCGAUGGAGGGGGAUCACUCCUGGAAACGGUAGCUAAUACCGCAUACUAUCGGCUGACCCCAUAUGGGAUUAGCUCGUAGUUGGGGUAAAGGCUCACCUAGGCGACGCUCCCUAGCUGUUCUGAGAGGAUGACCAGCCACACUGGAACUGAGACACGGUCCAGACUCCUACGGGAGGCAGCAGUGGGGAAUAUUGCACAAUGGGCGCAAGCCUGAUGCAGCCAUGCCGCGUGUAUGAAGAAGGCCUUCGGGUUGUAAAGUACUUUCAGCGGGGAGGCGGUACCCGCAGAAGAAGCACCGGCUAACUCCGUGCCAGCAGCCGCGGUAAUAC